CACACAAGCACUCACCUAGCUGAGAAGUUACAGGAGGUCGUGGCAGAGUGGAAACUAGAAAGGUAUGCCUGUUGCACUUUAUAACCCUU